GGAGAGAAAGAAGAAACCUUUGCACUAAUUUAAGUAUCAGUGUACUAGAUCGUCAACUUUUUGAGAACUAGUAAGUUUUUCAUGUUAUGUGUAAUGUAUACUGUUAAUGUUGUCAGAUAACUUUGGACUAAAACGUCAACUUUUUGAGAACUAGAAGUUUUUUCAUGCUAUCUGUAAUGUGUAACAGUUAAUGUACGUACUUAGGUAACUUUGUAAGAAUUGUACAGAAUUUGUGCGUUUGAGACAAAACGAUGAUUCGCAAUCUUGACAAAGGGCAGACUUUUAAGAUCCCCAGGAAAAUAAUGCAUGUGUGCAGAGCAAUGCAUUAUUAAUUAUAUCCUAUGCUUUUAAUUCCGCGGGGGCUUUAAAUGAGAGGGAAUCAUUUCCCAGUAAAUAGAGUUGGGACUCCACUUUAAUGAACGUAAUGAAGCACGCGGUCAAAAUUUUUAUAAGGAAAUCUGCCAUAUAUGAUUUAGGGUGUGUUUGAAAUUGAGUUGUUGUAUCUUUUAAAUAACAGCUGCUGUGAAAAAAAAAAAUUGUAACU
rnacentral:lncRNA from 1 species